rnacentral:rRNA from 1 species
UAGUGAUUAACGCGAAGAACCUUACCUGGGUUUGACAUAUGCCGGAAAGCUCCAGAGAUGGAGCCCCUUUUGUCGGUAUACAGGUGGUGCAUGGCUGUCGUCAGCUCGUGUCGUGAGAUGUUGGGUUAAGUCCCGCAACGAGCGCAACCCUCGUCCUAUGUUGCCAGCGGGUAAUGCCGGGGACUCAUAGGAGACUGCCGGGGUCAACUCGGAGGAAGGUGGGGAUGACGUCAAGUCAUCAUGCCCCUUAUGUCCAGGGCUUCACGCAUGCUACAAUGGCCGGUACAAAGGGCUGCGAUAUCGCAAGAUGGAGCGAAUCCCAAAAAGCCGGUCUCAGCUCGGAUUGGGGUCUGCAACUCGACCCCAUGAAGUCGGAGUCGCUAGUAAUCGCAGAUCAGCAACGCUGCGGUGAAUACGUUCCCGGGCCUUGUCACACCGAAUCGAAUUCC